rnacentral:rRNA from 1 species
UACGAAGGGGGCUAGCGUUGUUCGGAUUUACUGGGCGUAAAGCGCACGUAGGCGGUUUGUUAAGUCAGGGGUGAAAUCCCAGAGCUCAACUCUGGAACUGCCUUUGAUACUGGCAAGCUAGAGUCCGGAAGAGGUAAGUGGAACUCCUAGUGUAGAGGUGGAAUUCGUAGAUAUCAGGAAGAACACCCGUGGCGAAGGCGGCUCUCUGGGACGGUACUGACGCUGAGACGCGAAAGCGUGGGGAGCGAACAGG